rnacentral:piRNA from 1 species
UCCAGUGUCUUCAGCAGAUCACCAUUGCU